rnacentral:rRNA from 1 species
CUUCUCUGGCCCGCAACUGACGCUGAGGAGCGAAAGCGUGGGGAGCGAACAGGAUUAGAUACCCUGGUAGUCCACGCCGUAAACGUUGGGCGCUAGAUGUGGGUCACAUUCCACGUGAUCCGUGUCGCAGCUAACGCAUUAAGCGCCCCGCCUGGGGAGUACGGCCGCAAGGCUAAAACUCAAAGGUAUUGACGGGGGCCCGCACAAGCGGCGGAGCAUGCGGAUUAAUUCGAUGCAACGCGAAGAACCUUACCAAGACUUGACAUAUUCAGGAAAACUGCAGAAAUGUAGUCCCCCGCAAGGGUCUGUUUACAGGUGGUGCAUGGUUGUCGUCAGCUCGUGUCGUGAGAUGUUGGGUUAAGUCCCGCAACGAGCGCAACCCUCGUCCUAUGUUGCCAGCACGUUAUGGUGGGAACUCAUGGGAGACUGCCGGGGUCAACUCGGAGGAAGGUGGGGAUGACGUCAAAUCAUCAUGCCCCUUAUGUCUUGGGCUUCACGCAUGCUACAAUGGCCGGUACAAAGGGCUGCAAUACCGCAAGGUGGAGCGAAUCCCAAAAAGCCGGUCUCAGUUCGGAUUGAGGUCUGCAACUCGACCUCAUGAAGUCGGAGUCGCUAGUAAUCGCAGAUCAGCAACGCUGCGGUGAAUACGUUCCCGGGCCUUGUACACACCGCCCGUCAAGUCACGAAAGUCGGUAACACCCGAAGCCGGUGGCCUAACCGUAAGGAAG